AGAUACCCCAGAUUUUUAUACACCAAGGAUUCGCUACAUUUAUCAAUCCAGCCUGCAUGUCACAGAUGCGUAGGUCACUGCCCCACACCCCUGCUUAGGGGAGCGUCUUGGGGUGGUGGUGAGGAGCCCAAGACCCCUGGGUCUGAACUGCUGUGUCGAUGCCAGCAGACAGCACAGCCGGCUCCUCCGCGUCCCAGCGUCCUGCCGUAUGACGCACUGGACUACUUCCCAAGAGUGCCCCAAGGGAAACAUGACAUGGACACACAGGAAAUCCCAAACAUUUCAGGUCCAGGUGCCAUGUGGGAAAUGAUUGAUGCUCCAGGGACAGGAGAAGGAUGCGAACUGGGCGACUUCCAAGUUGCAGACAUGCGGAGCUCAUGGGACACCUACUUCUUCUGAGAGGCGAUGCACACCGAGAGUCGAAUUCUAUUUUUGUUUGUUUGUUGCUUCAUGCAUCCAAAGUAGUAUUAUAAGCAGUUUUCAGAUAAACAUAAUUAAUCUUUGACCCUAUCAAAAUAACUACCCA
rnacentral:lncRNA from 1 species